UGAUAAAGCCAGCAGGUUUGAAUUUUGAGACACUACAAUUGUCAAGGAGGUCACAGCAGGAACAUCCCUUCUAUGCAUUCCAGGGUCCCCUGAACCAGCAUACGUGUGACUGGCAAAAUCCACAGCACUGCAUGGAAACACCACUACCAAGAAGCCCAUCAGGUUUGUUUUAGCAUUCAAACAGAAGCUGAAGAUCAGAGAGUCCAGGUGGCAGGUGUUUGCUUCUAACCUGCAGGGGAAGAAAAGAAAAAUGAGAAGAAUUUAAUUUCCCUGCAAAAAUUGAGAGCAGCUGCUGCUUACUCUUUGAGACAUCAGACCUGAGGUUGGUUCUCUGAGCUCCUCUGACUGUCGGAGAAGAAAGGUUAUAUUGGAAUUAUGCUUCAAAGAUUAAAACUGGUUCUCUUCUGUUUUUGAAUGAAUUACAAUGAAUAUAUCUGGCAUUUUAAAUUUGUCUUACCUCCUCCAUUAUCUUUUCUGUAGUUCGCUUUUCGAAUGACAGAGUGAUUUAUUGAGUGUCUUUUAAAAGUUCCAUUUCACCAAACUAAUGGUGAAUAUAAAAAUCUGCCACUUGACCUAAC
rnacentral:lncRNA from 1 species